rnacentral:rRNA from 1 species
AGCGCAUACGGUGGAUGCCUUGGCAGUCAGAGGCGAUGAAGGACGUAGUAGCCUGCGAAAAGCUUCGGGGAGUCGGCAAACAGACUUUGAUCCGGAGAUGUCCGAAUGGGGAAACCCACCUGGUGUAAGCCAGGUAUCCUUAACUGAAUACAUAGGUUAAGGAGGCGAACUCAGGGAACUGAAACAUCUAAGUACCUGAAGGAAAAGAAAUCAAUUGAGAUUCCCCCAGUAGCGGCGAGCGACCGGGGAGAAGCCUGCAAGUAAUAGCAGUGCGGUUAGUGGAACGGUCUGGAAAGUCCGGCGAUAGAGGGUGAUAGCCCCGUACACGAAAACUGCGUUGUGGUACUGAGCUUGCGACAAGUAGGUCGGGACACGUGUUAUCUUGACUGAAUAUGGGGGGACCAUCCUCCAAGGCUAAAUACUCCUGACUGACCGAUAGUGAACCAGUACCGUGAGGGAAAGGCGAAAAGAACCCCGGAGAGGGGAGUGAAAUAGAACCUGAAACCGUAUGCGUACAAGCAGUGGGAGCCCCUUCGUGGGGUGACUGCGUACCUUUUGUAUAAUGGGUCAGCGACUUAUUGUCUGUAGCAAGCUUAACCGAGUAGGGGAGGCGUAGGGAAACCGAGUCUUAAUAGGGCGUUUAGUUGCAGGCAAUAGACCCGAAACCGGGCGAUCUAUCCAUGGCCAGGUUGAAGGUUGAGUAACAUCAACUGGAGGACCGAACCCACGUAUGUUGAAAAAUGCGGGGAUGAGCUGUGGAUCGGAGUGAAAGGCUAAUCAAGCCCGGAGAUAGCUGGUUCUCCUCGAAAUCUAUUUAGGUAGAGCGUCGUGUCUUACCCUGGGGGGUAGAGCACUGUUUGGGCUAGGGGGUCAUCCCGACUUACCAACCCCAUGCAAACUCCGAAUACCCAGGAGUACAAUCACGGCAGGCAGACGGCGGGUGCUAACGUCCGUCGUCGAGAGGGCAACAACCCAGACCGCCAGCUAAGGUCCCCAAUACCAGUUAAGUGGGAAACGAUGUGGGAAGGCUUAGACAGCUAGGAGGUUGGCUUAGAAGCAGCCAUCCUUUAAAGAAAGCGUAAUAGCUCACUAGUCGAGUCGGCCUGCGCGGAAGAUUUAACGGGGCUAAACUGGUAACCGAAGCUGCGGAUGCGUGCUUGCACGCAUGGUAGAGGAGCGUUCUGUAAGCCGUUGAAGGUGAAUCGUGAGGUUUGCUGGAGGUAUCAGAAGUGCGAAUGCUGACAUGAGUAACGACAAGGGGGGUGAAAAACCUCCCCGCCGGAAGAUCAAGGUUUCCUGCGCAACGCUAAUCGGCGCAGGGUGAGUCGGCCCCUAAGGCGAGGGCGAAAGCCGUAGUCGAUGGGAAACGGGUUAAUAUUCCUGUACUUCUUCAUAAUGCGAUGGGGGGACGGAGAAGGCUAGGCCAGCGCGGCGAUGGUUGUCCGCGUUUAAGGCUGUAGGCUGGCUGCUUAGGUAAAUCCGGGCGGCUAAGGUCGAGAGCUGAUGACGAGUGCUACUGAGAGGUAGCGCGAAGUGGUUAAUGCCAUGCUUCCAAGAAAAGCCUCUAAGCUUCAGUUAUGAAGGAACCGUACUGUAAACCGACACAGGUGAUCAGGUAGAGAAUACCAAGGCGCUUGAGAGAACUCGGGUGAAGGAACUAGGCAAAAUGGUACCGUAACUUCGGGAGAAGGUACGCCGGUUUGGGUGAUGGGACUUGCUCCCUGAGCCUGGGCUGGCCGAAGUGACCAGGUGGCUGCGACUGUUUAUUAAAAACAUAGCACUCUGCAAACACGAAAGUGGACGUAUAGGGUGUGACGCCUGCCCGGUGCCGGAAGGUUAAUUGAUGGGGUUAGCUUCGGCGAAGCUCUUGAUCGAAGCCCCGGUAAACGGCGGCCGUAACUAUAACGGUCCUAAGGUAGCGAAAUUCCUUGUCGGGUAAGUUCCGACCUGCACGAAUGGCGGAACGACUUGCCCGCUGUCUCCAACAUAGACUCAGCGAAAUUG